AUCCAACUGACGUGUCCCAGAUAGAACGGAACGUGUGUCCUGGAU
rnacentral:hammerhead_ribozyme from 1 species